CCUACGGGAGGCAGCAGUAGGGAAUAUUGGGCAAUGGAGGCAACUCUGACCCAGCCAUGCCGCGUGCAGGAUGAAGGCGUUAUGCGUUGUAAACUGCUUUUAUAUAGGAAGAAAUAGACCUUGCGAGGUAAUUUGACGGUACUAUAUGAAUAAGCACCGGCUAACUCCGUGCCAGCAGCCGCGGUAAUACGGAGGGUGCAAGCGUUGUCCGGAUUUAUUGGGUUUAAAGGGUGCGUAGGCGGUUUAUUAAGUCAGUGGUGAAAGACGGUCGCUCAACGAUUGCAGUGCCAUUGAUACUGGUAGACUUGAGUGAGAUUGAGGUAGCUGGAAUGGAUAGUGUAGCGGUGAAAUGCAUAGAUAUUAUCCAGAACACCAAUUGCGUAGGCAAGUUACUAAGUCUCAACUGACGCUGAGGCACGAAAGUGUGGGUAUCAAACAGGAUUAGAUACCCUGGUAGUCCACACUGUAAACGAUGAUAACUAACUGUUGGUCUUAGGGUCAGUGGUACAGAGAAAUCGUUAAGUUAUCCACCUGGGGAGUACGCCGGCAACGGUGAAACGUCAAAUGAAUUGACCGGNUGAGAGNGCGAGGACGACGACGAGGGAGGAGG
rnacentral:rRNA from 1 species